UGUCGAGCUUGCUCACAGGCACAUCAUAUCCAUAACACCUGUGCACUUGUCGGAUGGCUUAGUGAAGACCGCAAGGUUGAAUCUAUCCAUCUACUUUACAUAACAAUUCUGUAACAAAUGUAGUCUUAUUAUAACAUAAUAAAACUUUCAACAACGGAUCUCUUGGCUCUCGCAUCGAUGAAGAACGCAGCGAAAUGCGAUAAGUAAUGUGAAUUGCAGAAUUCAGUGAAUCAUCGAAUCUUUGAACGCACCUUGCGCUCCUUGGUAUUCCGAGGAGCAUGCCUGUUUGAGUGUCAUGAAAACCCUCAACCCUAGAUUGGUUAAAACCUUUCUUUGGUUUGGAUUUGGACGUUUGCCGAUGAUAAGUCGGCUCGUCUUAAAAGUAAUAGCUGGAUCUGUCUCGCGACAUGGUUUGACUUGGCGUAAUAAGUAUUUCGCUAAGGACAUCUUCGGAUGGCCGCGUUGCAGGACUAAAGACCGCUUUCUAAUCCAUUGAUCUUCGGAUUAAUACUCUUGACAUCUGGCCUCAAAUCAGGUAGGACUACCCGCUGAACUUAAGCAUAUCAAA
rnacentral:rRNA from 1 species